UACGUAGGUGGCAAGCGUUGUCCGGAUUUAUUGGGUUUAAAGGGUGCGUAGGCGGCGCUGUAAGUCGGGUGUGAAAUCCCUCAGCUUAACUGAGGAAUUGCGCCCGAUACUGUAGUGCUUGAGGGAGAUAGGGGUCAGCGGAACUGAUGGUGGAGCGGUGAAAUGCGUUGAUAUCAUCAGGAACACCGGUGGCGAAAGCGGCUUACUGGGUCUCUUCUGACGCUGAGGAACGAAAGCUAGGGUAGCGAACGGG
rnacentral:rRNA from 1 species